UUGAUCCUGGCUCAGAAUCAACGCUGGCGGCGUGCCUAACGCAUGCAAGUCGAACGUGAAAGGGGCUUCGGCCCCGAGUAAAGUGGCAAACGGGUGAGUUACGCGUGGGUGAUCUGCCUUUGAGUGGGGGAUAACCUUCCGAAAGGAGGUCUAAUACCGCAUGACAUCCUGUUCUUGGAUGAACGGUGAUCUAAGCUGGUGACCGCAAGGCCUGGCGCUUGAAGAGGAGCCCGCGUCCGAUUAGCUAGUUGGUGGGGUAAUGGCUCACCAAGGCGACGAUCGGUAGCCGGCCUGAGAGGUCGGACGGCCACACUGGGACUGAUACACGGCCCAUACUCCUACGGGAGGCUGCAGUGGGGAAUUGUUCGCAAUGGGCGCAAGCCUGACGACGCAACGCCGUGUGGGGGAUGAAGGUCUUCGGAUUGUAAACCCCUGUUGGGUGGGACGAAUAUUUCCGUGGUGAACAUCCACGGGAACUGACGGUACCACCUGAGGAAGCUCCGGCUAACUCUGUGCCAGCAGCCGCGGUAAUAAGGU
rnacentral:rRNA from 1 species